GCAGUGGGGGUUCAGUGGUAGAAUUCUCACCUUCUGCGUGGGAGACCUGGGUUCAAUUUCCGGCCAAUGCA
rnacentral:tRNA from 1 species